rnacentral:rRNA from 1 species
UACGUAGGGAGCAAGCGUUGUCCGGAAUCAUUGGGCGUAAAGCGCGCGUAGGCGGCCCUGUAAGUCCGUUGUGAAAGUCAAAGGCUCAACCUUUGAAAGCCGAUGGAUACUGCAGGGCUAGAGUCCGGAAGAGGCGAGUGGAAUUCCUGGUGUAGCGGUGGAAUGCGCAGAUAUCAGGAGGAACACCAAUAGCGAAAGCAGCUCGCUGGGACGGUACUGACGCUAAGGCGCGAAAGCGUGGGGAGCAAACAGG